UGACUAAGGGUUCCUGGGUCAAGCUGAUCUGCCCAGGGUAAGUCGGGACCUAAGGCGAGGCCGACAGGCGUAGUCGAUGGAUAACCGGUUGAUAUUCCGGUACCCGCUGUGAAGCGUCAAACAUCGAGCAUCGUGAUGCUAAGGCCGUGAAACCGCCCGCUGCCGGCUUUGCCGUCAGUGGGAGUGGUGGAGCCGCUGAACCAAGCGGUUAGUAGGUGAGUGAUGGGGUGACGCAGGAAGGUAGUCCAUCCCGGGCGGUGGUUGUCCCGGGGUAAGGGUGUAGGCCGUGCGGUAGGUAAAUCCGUCGCACACAAGGCUGAGACCUGAUGCCGAGCCGAUUGUGGUGAAGUGGAUGAUCCUAUGCUGUCGAGAAAAGCCUCUAGCGAGUUUCAUGGCGGCCCGUACCCUAAACCGACUCAGGUGGUCAGGUAGAGAAUACCGAG
rnacentral:rRNA from 1 species